rnacentral:misc_RNA from 1 species
GAUGAGAACGCAGCGAAAUGCGAUACGUAAUGUGAAUUGCAGAUUUCAGUGAAUCAUCGAAUCUUUGAACGCACAUUGCGCCCGCUAGUAUUCUGGCGGGCAUGCCUGUUCGAGCGUCAUUUCAACCAUCAAGCCCUAGGCUUGCGUUGGAGCCCUGCGGCUGCCGCAGGCUCCCAAAUCCAGUGGCGGGCUCGUCGUCGUACCGAGUGCAGUAAACAUCCUCGCUCAGGGAACGUGACGGGUUCUUGCCGUGAAACCCCCCACAUAUCAAGGUUGACCUCGGAUCAGGUAGGAAUACCCACUGAACUUAAGCAUAUCAAUAAGCGGAGGA